rnacentral:lncRNA from 1 species
AGUUUUCUAAGGGUUUCAGAUGGAAUUAAUAUUUGAAUAAAAUUCAAAUAUCAAUUCUAAGAUUCGGAAGAAGGGAAUAUUCCUAAAGUUGAGAUAAAGAGUAAGCUAUAGCAAUCAAAUGCUAUACGUAUGCCUUUAUUCAUGCAAGGUUUAUUCAUAAAAUGGUUUUGAAUAUUCGGGAAAAGGAAAGUAUGUUUAGUUUUAAAGAAAAAUUUUAAAAAGUCUGUAUUUUAAAAUGCUCUAAAAAGCGGGAUGUUACAAUAGCGCUCCACUUAUAGCACCUAUUGGAACGUUUGUUCCAUAUGGUCUAUGGCUAAUGCACAAUUUAAUAUCUGUUUGUG